UAGGGAAUAUUGCAAAAUGGGCGAAAGCCCGAUGCAGCAACGCCGCGUGGGCGAUGAAGGCCUUCGGGUCGUAAAGCCCUUUUUGAGGGGAUGAGGAAGGACAGUACCCUCAGAAUAAGCCUCGGCUAACUACGUGCCAGCAGCCGCGGUAAAACGUAGGAGGCGAGCGUUAUCCGGCUUUACUGGGCGUAAAGCGCGUGCAGGCGGAUUGGAGAGUUGGAUGUGAAAGCUCCCGGCUUAACUGGGAGAGGUCGUUCAAUACUUCCAGUCUUGAGUGCAGUAGAGGGAAGUGGAAUUCCGGGUGUAGUGGUGAAAUGCGUAGAUAUCCGGAGGAACACCAGUGGCGAAAGCGGCUUCCUGGACUGUAACUGACGCUCAGACGCGAAAGCUAGGGUAGCAAACG
rnacentral:rRNA from 1 species